UCCGCCGUCUGCUCCGCUCCGCUCCAGUUCUACUCUCCACUCUCUAGUGUAUUUAAGUGUAUCGUCGUGGACGGAGUCCACGCGCUCGCGUAAGGCUGGUGGAAGGUGGACUGUCGUUGUUGCGCCGAACGUUGACUUGUAAAUCCCCGUCAAGUGUCGAGGAGAGCGAAGCGUCGUCGCGCGGCUUCCUGCCACCUUUACCGCCAUCGAGUCGGAGUCUCCCCCAAAAAAGGAGCGCAUCUACGUUACAUUGGAGUGUAUCUGCGGAAGCGGGACGCGCGUCCUACGGAUCUUACGAUUCGUACAUCGUUCGCGAACGGUGUUCCAGCUGCAGCUGACAUUCCGCGUCGAAACGCCGCGCCGUGCGUGGUUACUCGAAUCGUCGCUAGAAUCUCGCAUUUUCGUUACUCCCGUUCCAUUUCGAUCCGGGCAAAAUGGGGACGUUUUGUUACAACUUCUCCAAGUACUCGCUGGCGGCCAUAAGCCUCGUGUUUUUGAUCAUCUCGGUAACAGUGAUUACCAUGGUAGCAUGUAUGUUAUCGGACAGAACGUAUUUAGUAUCGAUCGCCGAGGAAGGAAACAACUAUGAAGCAGGCUUAUACAUUCUGCUCUUCACCGGAAUUCUUAUGCUCAUCGUCUCUAUUUUGGGCUGGUGUAGUGCUUUGAAACUUUUUCGAUAUUGUCUGGCCACUUUCAUCAGCAUCAUGCUUGUUAUCGUCGUCGCGCAAAUUGCAUUCGCAGGAUGGCUUUACGCUCAUAAAGAUCGUUUGGACGAAUUGGUGCGAUCUUCCGUGAUAAACACUGUUAAGGAUGAAUACGGUGAGAUACAAUGUCGCACGCAAAUUAUGGAUACAAUUCAAUCCACUCUUGAAUGCUGCGGAGCCAAUGGACCUGAAGAUUGGGCUGGCAGCAAAUAUGGAAAACAAGAUUCUUCUCAAAUACGCCUCAAUUUUGGCGUUUCAAACGCCGAAAACAUAUUCAGAAUACCAAAAUCCUGUUGCAAAGAUACAGAUAGCACCGCCUGCAAUCAAGGACGUCAGAUGAAAGUUGCCGGAGUCGUGAGCUCUGCGAUUUAUAGUGAGGGAUGUAUGGAAAAGUUGGUUACUACACUGAAGACGCAGACUUAUCAUUUUAUGGGUGCAGCGGUAUUAGUUUUAGCCUUAGAAAUCGUUAGUCUAAUACUCGCUUUAAUUUGCUGUUACAAAGGCGGAUCGUCAGAUAGAUACAAAGCUUAAACUGAUUUCAUCGAGCGUAUCAUAGUUAAUUCCGACAAUGAGCGGGAGAGACAUAAUUGAAGUCUUUAUUAAACUCCGUUCGAGAUGUACUCUACACAGUCGAAGCGAAACGAGCGUCUCUAACUGCGGUUUCCCAUUGCCAGCCCUCGCGAGUUGUUAAUGACGACGGUGCGAAGCGAAGCGGAGCAAAUGGAGUGAGCGAAGUGGGCAACCACGGUAACCAAGGAAGAAGGAAAGAAAGAUCGGAAGGAGGUGAUAUUAGAGAAGGAAGAUGCUACGUGACUAGCAAGCGGAGAGAACGAGACUGACCGCUCGAGGAGAAUUGGAGGGGCAGGUCUCGCUCGGUAGGCACCUGGGCCCCGCAAAGGGGCCCAGGAGAGAAGCGGGACCACAGGUGCGGUCGGGAUGAAGCACGGCCGUGCAAUGUGGUGCGGUCCGUCGUGUCGUGACGUGGAGAACAGGAGCUGUUCUUGCGCUUUCUGCCUCCCUCGCGGAGUCUCCUCUCGAGUGUCUCCGGGUCUUGCGCGUCUCGCUGCUUCCGGAAACUUGAGAUCGUACAAAACCUAUUUUUCGAGGACCUCGAAAAAAAUUACGUAUACAUAAAUAUAUAUCGAUACGACCUACCAAAACGAGGUGGGUCCGAUCAAAUCUUUUCCUCCUGCGGAACAAACGAGAUAUAUAGCUCGACGGUGCAUUCCUGGGACGGAGCGCACUCGGGGGUCCUCCCGAGUCUCUCCCUCCCUCUCUCACUUUUUCUCUCUGUUCUUUUCGUCACGCGGACGGAAUGGUUCGAAUAAACUGCAGUGUAAUAAUAUCCUGGAUAAACAAGAAAGCAAAAAAGAGAGAGUAAGACAGCAGAUUGAAGUUUAUCGAAAAAUGGAACAACUCAGCCUUAAUUCAUUAUAUUGGAAGCACAACGCGUGAAGGUCUUCUCGGCCAACGUUUGAUUAGUGGUGCAUAAGUGUAACGGCG